rnacentral:tRNA from 16 species
GGGCAUACAGCGACGCCUGCGAACUCAUAAUCGCUUGGUCGUAGGUUCAAGUCCUACUGGGCCCACCA